GAUGAACGCUGGCGGCCUGCCUAAUACAUGCAAGUCGAGCGAACAGACGAGGAGCUUGCUCCUCUGACGUUAGCGGCGGACGGGUGAGUAACACGUGGAUAACCUACCUAUAAGACUGGGAUAACUUCGGGAAACCGGAGCUAAUACCGGAUAAUAUAUUGAACCGCAUGGUUCAAUAGUGAAAGACGGUUUUGCUGUCACUUAUAGAUGGAUCCGCGCCGCAUUAGCUAGUUGGUAAGGUAACGGCUUACCAAGGCAACGAUGCGUAGCCGACCUGAGAGGGUGAUCGGCCACACUGGAACUGAGACACGGUCCAGACUCCUACGGGAGGCAGCAGUAGGGAAUCUUCCGCAAUGGGCGAAAGCCUGACGGAGCAACGCCGCGUGAGUGAUGAAGGUCUUCGGAUCGUAAAACUCUGUUAUUAGGGAAGAACAAAUGUGUAAGUAACUAUGCACGUCUUGACGGUACCUAAUCAGAAAGCCACGGCUAACUACGUG
rnacentral:rRNA from 1 species